UAUUGAAAUAAUUUUUAUAUUAAAUAUUUUUAUAUAUAUAUCGUAAUAUAUAUUAUGGAAAAAGAAUCUUUAACGUUUAUGUGUAACCGCAAAAAAAAAAUAUAAAUUGGUGAACUUAUUUAUUUAUUUAUUAAUAGAUGUUUAAAAUGGCCUAAAAAUAUCUCUACACAUUUACCCUUAUUAAAUACACCAGGAUCUAUAAAUAUAUAUGAAUAUGCAAAUUUAUACACGCCCACUUGUUGGGGUUUUUGGGCGGGUCAUUUUUGUAAUUCUUUGUUCUUGAAAUACAGUAUAGCGUUCAUUUUUUUUCUCCUCAUAAUAUCGUAAUCGUGGCGUUUUCGGAAGUUCUGGUUUUCAGUGGUCUUUCGGGAUGUAGUAUCGUUCUUGUUGAGGAGCGCUCGAGGAGCGCUCGUGAGCCUGAAGAAUGACUAGAUAUGAAUCGAUGGGUCCGUAUCGGGUGAAACGAGAGCUGAGGAGGCGGGGAGGUGAAAAGCCGGGGCAGAGGAGCUCAGUGGUCCGGCCGCGGUAACCGGAGGAGAAGAGAUUUGGAUCCGGUUGCGUGACAGAUGUCGAGCAGAGCCCGAGUCCCGUUUAAUGGAUUAGGACACAGCCGAGCCGCGUAAUUCAUCCGAAUGGGCCGACCCGAGUUUCAACCUUCUGAGAGGCGCAAGUCAUUAAGUGAUUGAGUUUCCUGAAUGUUCAGCAGAUGUAGUGCCUCCAGGCAACUCACUCACACACACACACACACACACACACACACACACGAGUACAAGAAAGGCUUUUCAGCUGGUUCUGAGCCAGCAGUGUGGUGCUCCAGGUGGAAGACGCGUAUUGUCUCGGCGUGCACUUUGACUCGGCGUUUUCUCUCGGAUAUCCGUUUCACCAGCAGCUGCUCCACACGUUCAGCUUCCACUCCUUCUUCCAAAAAAAAAAAGAAAGAAUCCUUAACGUCUACAUGUCACUGUGAAAAAUAAUAUAAAUACACGAUUAAAGAUGGCCUAAAAACGUCUCCACACAUUUCCCCUCAUUAAGUAUACCGGGAUCUGUAAAUAUACGCGAAUAUGCAAAUUAGUGCACGCCCACAUGCCCUAUUUUUUAUUUUGCGAUCUUUAAUUUCAGCCCCCCCUUCAUUAUUUCUUUCUUCCUUUCAGCUUCACGUUAUAUAUUUUUUCUUCUCUUCUUUUAUUUAAUUCCUGUGCCUUUCUUUCUCUCUUUCCUCGUUUGUCUUUUUGUUUUUCAAUUUUUUUUUCUUUUCUUCUUUCCUUUAUUUUCAUUCACCCAUUUUCUUUCUUUCUUUAUUUUAUCUUUCUCGGUUUGUUUCUCUUUUUAGUUUUUUAAUUGAUAUUAUUUGCUAUUAUUUCCCUUCCUUUUGUUUCAUUUUGUCUUUCCCCCUUCUUUCACCCACGUCCUUUCUUUCUUUCUUUCUUUCUUUCUUUCCUCGUUUGUCUGUUGUCUUUCAAUUUUUUUCUUUUCUCUUCUUCUUUCCUUUAUUUUCAUUCGCCCACUUCGUUUCUUUCUGUCUUUCUUUUUUAUUUUUCUUUCUCUUACCUCAUUUCUCUUUUUUUGUAUACAUUUUUUCUUUUAAGUUUUUUUUUCCUUCUAUUAUUUCCUCUUUUGUUUACUUUUUCUCUUUCCUUUUGCCACCCAUAUCCUUUCUUUCUUUGUAUUCUUCCCCUCUUCAAUACUUUUCCUUUCUAUAGUUUUCUUUGUCUUGAUUUUCUUUUCUUUCUCGCUUUCUGGGAUUUCGGUUUACGUCCUGAUUUGCUCACUAAUUUAACAGCAGACACAAUAUCGUACGUAAAGUUACCACGGCGACCGCCACGUGUUUUAGCCUGGUAGCCGGUAGAGCACACAGGUUUGCGGUCGGGACUCAAACGGGUCAUCAGUACGUGAUGAUUCACUGAUCCGAAUACUGAUCCACGGAACACAAAUGACUCGGUGCGUGGUAGUGAACGAUACUGAUUCGUUCAGCUUAGUGACUCUUCCAGAAAGAUGAAUCAUUGGUGAACGAAUCACAUCUAGUUUAUAAUCCUGUGGCAUCGUUCUCUUUACAGAAUCCUGAGGAAUCGGAUGGUUUGGAAUCGGGUCGGUGUUCCAGACGUGUCCCGUACCAGAUGUUCCGGAAUGGGACAUACUAUCAAUGGACACCAUGGGUGUGUUCUUCAACUUGAGCAGCAGGACCUGAGAUGCCCUCAUGCUGACCUGCAACAAAAGAACCGUACAGGAACCGGAGGUUAAGUAAUCAAACACAACGAAAGAUCCGUUAUUGAUCACGAUGUGCACGCCGUGGCUCGUCGAGGAAACAGCAGCGAGGUGGAGGAGGAGGAGGAUUCAUCCUGAGUCACUGAGUGAAACUGAGCCUGUUGAAGAUUGAAGACCUGAGAUGAGUCGAAGCCUCCCGCUGUGAGGUCAGGGGUCACUAUUGAUUACUCGCCCAGCAGGAGCCCACUUGGACAUUUAAGGACUUGUAAGUCGAGUUCCUGUGCUGCUCUCCAGUGGGAUUUUCCACUGAAGCGUGCACCAACAUCGGCAUCAGAUUCUAGUCAACAUGUCUCACCUAAUGACUGUCUCCCGAGAUCAUUCCUCCCUGAAAACCUGGGAGAAAAAUCCCCAACAAAAAAGCCUCACUUCAAAAGCUUGUGGCCAGUGAAACGUUUCCCUGGAACAGAAGUGCUUCUGGCGUCGUUUCUAUCGAAAAACAUAUUGCUGGUACAAAUGGGCCAUGGACUAAUAAAAUUACUCUCACAUUCACGUAAUAUGUUCUUACAUUCCCAAAAUUUCCCUUGGGGAUCAAUAAAGUACAUCUGUCUGUCUGUCUGUCUGUGUACAAUAGUCACUCACACCAAACCCUGAAUCUCACAUUCCCAUAAAACGCCCUCACGUCGACAUGAAAUGCCGUUGCGUUUACAUAGAAUGCUCUCGCAUUCGCGUUCAUGAAAGACGCUUUCCUGUUCACGUGGAACACUUCCGCACCGACACGAACGUGUGGCUUUCACAGAGAAGAAGCACCGACGUUGACCUAAAAUUCCUUCACGUUUCUGUGAAAGACUUUCGCGUUGACGUAGAACGCUCUCGCGUCCAUGUAAAAUUCUCUACGUGUCCGUGGAAAAUGCGCUCAUUUGCAUAAGACGCCGUUGUUCACUUAAAUCGCUCUUCGAUUCGGUUCGCUUGAAACGGCCCGGCGACGACGUAAAACGCUUCCACGUUCCCACAGGGCGCUUUAACUUGUAGGGAACGAGCUUUGCGUCCGCGUAAAAACGCUUUCGCGUUCACAAAGAAAGCUUUUGCGUUCACGUGAACCGCUCUGGCGUCCAUGUAGAAAUGCUCUCGCGUUCACGCGGUUCACGUUCACGCAGAAUGCUCACUUUCAUUUAAAAUGCUCUCGCAUCCAGGGAAAGUGCGCUGGCUUUGAUGUAGUUGACUUAAAAGCCUUUCACAUAGAACGCUCGCAUUCAUUCGGCUCAAAAUAUGUAGGAAUAAAUGGAGUAAAUUAUAUGUGCGUUCCGGAGUGUUGGUGUGUGCUGGGUAGUGUAGGGUAGUGUAGUGUAGUGUAGUGUAGUGUAGUGUAGUGUAGCGUGGGCAUAUGUAGGAGAACUCUGACACCUACUGUACUGAACACACACUCCACUCUGAGAGAGUCGUCCGUUUCCUGCACUUCCUUCUCUCAGUUCUCACAGAGAUUUCUGCCGAGCUAUAACUGCAGUAUCAACCCUAAAAACAGCAGAAGUGAGAGUUUAUAGCAUGGGGCAUGCUGUAGGAUACAGUGAACCACUGUAUAUUACAGAUUACUGUAUUAGAGUUACAGUAUGUCAUAGUGGAUUAGAAUGGGCCGAGUAUAUUA